rnacentral:lncRNA from 1 species
UCUAAUCUCAAAACUUAUUUCCUAUGACUUAAUAAUGAUCUGUGGAUAAUAAAGCAUUAUUCAAGUUUUAUACAUUUAAUAAAGCUUAAGCAUUUAUUUAAAUGCCUUAAACAAAAGGUAUUAAAUAAAUACCUAAAUUUUUAUUAUUUUUCCUAGGUUUAAGAAUUUUAAUGCAUAAAGAAAAAUAAAACAAUCCUAAUAAAAUUAGUUUCACUAAUUUUGGACACUCCUAGAAAUUUCUGUGAUUUAAAUGGUGAAAAAUGAAUUUACAGUAAUUAUCUAAUAAAAGUAAAACUUAAGAUAUAUCCUAAAACCCCGGC